rnacentral:lncRNA from 1 species
GGGGAAGGAGUUAGUUCUACAUUAAGCUGUGGGGCUGCUUCUCCCCAUUGCUCCCUAACAAUUCAUUGUGUGGACUUCUCUCAUCUAAAAGGUUGGUGGCUUUUGCUUGGGAUCAGUGCUCUCUAUUUAUGUCCUUGCUGGUCUCUGAACACAUUCCUGUUGCGUUAAGACUUGAAAGAUUUGUAGAUGUGUGAUGUUCAGGCACAGGAUGCUAAGAGCUUAUGUUACUAUUCUUAGUUUGUAAAUUGUCCUUUUGAUACCAUCUUGUUUCUUUUGUAGGUAUAAAUAAAAACACUGUUGACAAUAAAAAAAAA